GGGAAUGGAUGGGUCCUGGUGGGCCUCGGGGACUUCAAAUCCCUAAGCCGGGCGUUUAACGCGGUCGGGGUGGGUUCGAUUCCCACACAUUCCCGCCA
rnacentral:tRNA from 1 species